rnacentral:misc_RNA from 1 species
GAUGAAGAACGUAGCGAAAUGCGAUAAGUAAUGUGAAUUGCAGAAUUCAGUGAAUCAUCGAAUCUUUGAACGCACAUUGCGCCCGCCAGUAUUCUGGCGGGCAUGCCUGUUCGAGCGUCAUUUCAACCAUCAAGCCCCCGGCUUGUGUUGGAGACCUGCGGCUGCCGCAGGCCCUGAAAUGCAGUGGCGGGCUCGCUGUCACUCCGAGCGUAGUAGUUACAUCUCGCUCUGGGCGUGCUGCGGGUUCCGGCCGUUAAAAGCCUUAUUUACCCAAGGUUGACCUCGGAUCAGGUAGGAAGACCCGCUGAACUUAAGCAUAUCAAUAAGCGGAGGA